NNNNNNNNNNNNNNNNNNNNNNNNNNNNNNNNNNNNNNNNNNNNNNNNNNNNNNNNNUCGCGGACUCGCCGCUCCCCCCGGCGCCCUGCUGGGGCCCGCGCAGCUCACCUCCUGGCUCCUGGGAGCCCGAAGCGCCAGCGUAAGGCACGGGCUCGCCAGACCGCCCCAGCCCCUUCCGCUGCCCUCAGCCGGGACAGCCUCCCCUUUCCGUGUCCUGCACCCACGGCUCUCCCCGAGCUGGCCUUCUGCAGCAUUCCGGCCUCCCCCUCGCUCCUCCAAAUGCCCUGGGGCUCAGCUGGUAGAGGAUAAGCCACAGGGGAAAAGCCUCUGGUCCCCCACCCCUAAGACUCCUGUAUGUCCCAGAGACCCUCUGGCUGGGCCAGCGGUCUGAGCUUUCUGCUGGCGCUGGGCGCUGGGUGCCCCCAUCCGAGGAGCCGGUGUCCACGGCAGGAGCGGCCCAGACGGUGGCUGUCUGCCGCAGAACCGGGUUUAAGAUUUUGCUGCAUUUAUGCUUUUGUUUCUCCAAAGUGGAAAACAUGUGCAGGGUCGGGAAGGCUUGGAAACUCAAGUCAACCUAACUUUCCAACUGGGAAGGGGAAGGGUCGGAAGCCGGCAGCGACCGCAGCGGUCUCUCUGUCUCUCGGCACCAGUCAAACAUGGAGCAUUUAGUUCCACCGGACGAGGUCGGCCCCAAACAACGCCUCGCACUGACUAGCUCGUGUUGCCUGACUCCGCUUGAAUGCCAAGAGCUCGAUUGUCCUUUAUUUAAGAUGAAUGUGUUAAUACACUGGGGGAGGGGGUGCGCAGGGGGCACUCUGGCCUGGGUGACGCGAUGUGUCCCGCGGACACUGUGUCGGAGGCGGGGCGCUGGCUGAGGACAGCGCCCGCGGGCUCCGAGUGAGGUCAGGGCGCACAGGGCGCCCUCUGGCUCCGGGGGCGCUCAGUGCAGAGACCAGUCCCCGAGACCGGAGCCUUCCGCUCCUUGCAGUAACACUGUAAGGACUGUCCCAAAGUAAUCGACUUUUGCAAACAUUUUUCCGCGUCUGCCCGUGUGUGUGUGUGGGGGGGGCUGGCUCCUGUUGCCGUCACGGCACACUGUGGCUCUGUGUGUCCCUCUUACUUCUUUGUCUCCCUGCCCUCUUCCCCCUCCGCCUCUGGGUCCCCGUCUCCGCCUCUCAACUGGCUGCUGUGGGACACUGAACUGUCCCCCGUGGCAUCUGUUGAAGCAUUUUUUGUGCCUCUUUCUUCACUGUCAGCGCAGAUGAGUGGGACGUUUAUGGUUGUCUGUUUGACGACCCUCAGUAGGAGCAAAGGUUCUACACGCAACCCACGAUGUCUCUUCGUGACCUUACUGACAUUUUGAGAAGUCGUCUGAGUCCCCGUGCUGCACUUUCUUGAUGUUCAAAUAAAAGAGAAAUUCAAUGCCUCGUGUUUUCUUUCUGAGGAACAUCUUUAAAACUGGUCAGGAGGAGAUUCCUGCAGUGUUCGGAUUUGGGGUGAGGUGGUCUCCCCUGGUUGCUGCUCCCCCUCCGGGGUCUGUACUAAAGCUGUGGGGGACGACUGGGUGACUCCAUCGGUGAAGUGUCUGCCUUCGGCUCAGGUUGUGAUCUCAGGGUCCUGGGAUCGAGCCCCGCAUCGGGCUCCUUGCUCAGCUGGGGGGUCUGCUUCUCCUUCUCCCUCAUGCCCUCUGUCUCUCUCUCUCUCUCUAAUAAAUAAAUAAAUAAAUAAAUAAUCGGGGAAAAAAAAAAAAGGAAC
ensembl:lincRNA